UCUCCGUUGGUGAACCAGCGGAGGGAUCAUUACCGAGUUUACAACUCCCAAACCCAAUGUGAACCAUACCAAACUGUUGCCUCGGCGGGGUCACGCCCCAGGUGCGUCGCAGCCCCGGAACCAGGCGCCCGCCGGAGGGACCAACCAAACUCUUUCUGUAGUCCCCUCGCGGACGUUAUUUUUACAGCUCUGAGCAAAAAUUCAAAAUGAAUCAAAACUUUCAACAACGGAUCUCUUGGUUCUG
rnacentral:misc_RNA from 1 species